rnacentral:tRNA from 1 species
GAGGGUAUAGCUCAGUGGUAGAGUGUGUGCUUAGCAUGCACAAGGUUCUGGGUUCAAUCCCCAGCACCUCCA